CUGGAGGGAGCUCAGAGUGGGAGGCAGAGAGAAGUGUGCUCAGAGGGCACCCAUUUCUGCAUGUAACGUGGUCCUGAGAUUUUUGCUGGGAAGGGUUUCCAGGGUUUCAUAUGUGUUAUGGAGCUACUUCCUCUCCCCAGCCUCACCCUGCAGGAAUCCAGUGACUAUAUUGCCGCCAGUGUACCCAUUCCUGAGGGGUGAUGCUUCUACAAGGCCUGUGACUUGGUGCACAACUUCAGACACCAUCAUCCUGAGCAAGUGGGCUUCUCCGGGAUCUUAAUUCAGGAGCCAAGAGACACAAACCUGCCUGGCCACCUUUAGAAUAUGACAGCACAGCCAGUGGCCUCUACUGGAUCCUGUACAACCUCACAAGACCCCCAGACACCAGGAGUGCUGCUAGAACAUGGUGCAAGAGUCCUGAGGGACCACAGUCCUGAAGACAUUGAAUGUUUUUAGGUGAAAAAAACUGGGGCAAAGAGCAAUACAAGAGAGUUGCCGAAAUUCGUUCUGCUUGUCCAGGUUUGAAGCAAGCAGUCUGCACCUAGUGUCCUUGUCUGUAACCAUGGCACCCUGGUUUCUCACACAUCUCAUAAUGGAGUUCCACCUUGUGUCAAGCAUGGCACUGAGCAGUUUAUUUUAAGAACAUAAUUUGUAAUUAUGUAGAUUACUAAUUCUACUUCAAAAUGACACACAGUCUUCAUGUGAUAAAAGGAAACAAUUGGGAUCUCUACUAAGAUGUUGGCAGCCCGGCCAGCUGGUCUGGCCAUGGAUGUGACUUCAGGGGCUGGUUAUGCUUCAUGCACCUGCUUCUAGCUUCACUGUUGGGCCAGAUUUCAUCCCCACCCCAGCUCUGCAGCGCAGCUGCUUCUUGAUUCCUCCAUGGACCCUGCGUGAAAUUAC
rnacentral:lncRNA from 1 species